rnacentral:lncRNA from 1 species
ACUUCCCCUCAAGAGAGAUCAACAUCCCACUUGAUCCUAGAGCUCUCUUUCAGCUCAACUACCACAAAGGCCUCAGCCCAGCUUUUUAUCGAGUCCUUGUACUUGGCGAAAAUGGAUAACCUUGUUCGGGGACCAAAGUAGUAGAACCCGUUGUUAGACUUGACGAGGAGGAAGAGGGUGGAGAACAAAGCGACAGAGGGGGCAAAAUCUCAAUACAAAAAACGAACUCAAAGCAUCACAUAAACAGAAUGGAGUUGGGAGACAGUAUACGAG